rnacentral:rRNA from 1 species
GACGAACGCUGGCGGCGUGCCUAAUACAUGCAAGUCGAACGCUGAAGAGAGGAGCUUGCUCUUCUUGGAUGAGUUGCGAACGGGUGAGUAACGCGUAGGUAACCUGCCUUGUAGCGGGGGAUAACUAUUGGAAACGAUAGCUAAUACCGCAUAACAAUGGAUGACACAUGUCAUUUAUUUGAAAGGGGCAAUUGCUCCACUACAAGAUGGACCUGCGUUGUAUUAGCUAGUAGGUGAGGUAAUGGCUCACCUAGGCGACGAUACAUAGCCGACCUGAGAGGGUGAUCGGCCACACUGGGACUGAGACACGGCCCAGACUCCUACGGGAGGCAGCAGUAGGGAAUCUUCGGCAAUGGGGGCAACCCUGACCGAGCAACGCCGCGUGAGUGAAGAAGGUUUUCGGAUCGUAAAGCUCUGUUGUAACUCAAGAACGGGUGUGAGAGUGGAAAGUUCACACUGUGACGGUAGCUUACCAGAAGGGGACGGCUAACUACGU